rnacentral:rRNA from 1 species
GGGUAUUAGUUGGCCUCAUUGAGCCGCUGGACCUCUCGGGGUUACAGCCUUGCUGAAUUAUUCACCCUUGUCUUUUGCGUACUUCUUGUUUCCUUGGUGGGUUCGCCCACCACUAGGACAAACAUAAACCUUUUGUAAUUGCAAUCAGCGUCAGUAACAAAUUAAUAAUUACAACUUUCAACAACGGAUCUCUUGGUUCUGGCAUCGAUGAAGAACGCAGCGAAAUGCGAUAAGUAGUGUGAAUUGCAGAAUUCAGUGAAUCAUCGAAUCUUUGAACGCACAUUGCGCCCUUUGGUAUUCCAAAGGGCAUGCCUGUUCGAGCGUCAUUUGUACCCUCAAGCUUUGCUUGGUGUUGGGCGUCUUGUCUCUAGCUUUGCUGGAGACUCGCCUUAAAGUAAUUGGCAGCCGGCCUACUGGUUUCGGAGCGCAGCACAAGUCGCACUCUCUAUCAGCAAAGGUCUAGCAUCCAUUAAGCCUUUUUCAACUUUGACCUCGAUGAGUAGUCCCGUCUUUUCCUUAACCUG